rnacentral:rRNA from 1 species
UACGAAGGGAGCUAGCGUUGUUCGGAAUUACUGGGCGUAAAGCGCACGUAGGCGGCUAUUCAAGUCGGGGUGAAAGCCCGGGGCUCAACCCCGGAACUGCCCUCGAAACUAGGUAGCUAGAAUCUUGGAGAGGCGAGUGGAAUUCCGAGUGUAGAGGUGAAAUUCGUAGAUAUUCGGAAGAACACCAGUGGCGAAGGCGACUCGCUGGACAAGUAUUGACGCUGAGGUGCGAAAGCGUGGGGAGCAAACAGG